GAGGCCGACAGGCGUAGUCGAUGGAUAACGGGUUGAUAUUCCCGUACCGGCGAAGCACCGCCCAUGCUGACGCGCGGGUGCUAACCCACGCCCAGCCACCAAGUUCAGCCGCGCCUGUCAGGUUCGCCUGACGGUGUGGUUGUGGUGGUGGGGUCUGGGGAUCCUCCGUGCAGGUAGGCAAGCGUGUUAACAGGGGUGACGCACAGUGGUAGCCCGGCGGACCUGAUGGCUUGGUCCGUUCAAGCGCGCAGCCCGUCCUCCAGGUAAAUCCGGGGGGCAGCCCAUUUGGUUGGGUAGGGGUGAGGCGUGAUGGUGACCCCACGCUGGUGGGGGAUAACAGGGUGAUCCUGGGGUGCCGAGAAAAGCCUCGACGCGAUGGUGCCAGCCGCCCGUACCCUAAACCGACACAGGUGGUCGGGCAGAGUAUGCCUAGGCGCACGAGAUAAUCAUGGUGAAGGAACUCGGCAAAAUGCCCCCGUAACUUCGGGAGAAGGGGGGCCCAAGCCUUGAAGCUCCUUGCGGGCUAGGGGUGAGGGUCGCAGAGACCAGGGAGAAGCGACUGUUUACUAAAAACACAGGUCCGUGCGAAGCCGUAAGGCGAUGUAUACGGACUGACGCCUGCCCGGUGCUGGAAGGUUAAGAGGAACCAUCAACCUUCGGGUGAAGUGGUGAAUUUAAGCCCCAGUAAACGGCGGUGGUAACUAUAACCAUCCUAAGGUAGCGAAAUUCCUUGUCGGGUAAGUUCCGACCUGCACGAAUGGCGUAACGACUUCCCCGCUGUCUCAACCAUGAGCUCGGCGAAAUUGCAGUACGAGUAAAGAUGCUCGUUUCGCGCAGAAGGACGGAAAGACCCCGGGACCUUUACUACAGCUUGGUAUUGGCGCCCGCUAUAGCUUGUGCAGGAUAGGUGGGAGACUGUGAAGCCGUUACGCCAGUGGCGGUGGAGUCGUCCUUGAAAUACCACUCUGGUUAUGGCGUGCGCCUGAACCUGGGCCCGUGAUCCGGGUUAGGGACAGUGCCUGGUGGGUAGUUUAACUGGGGCGGUUGCCUCCUAAAGUGUAACGGAGGCGCUCAAAGGUUCCCUCAGCCUGGUCGGCAACCAGGUGUUGAGUGCAAGUGCACAAGGGAGCUUGACUGUGAGACCGACGGGUCGAGCAGGUACGAAAGUAGGAACUAGUGAUCCGGCGAUCCCGUGUGGGUGGGUCGUCGCUCAACGGAUAAAAGGUACCCCGGGGAUAACAGGCUGAUCCUGCCCAAGAGUCCAUAUCGACGGCAUGGUUUGGCACCUCGAUGUCGGCUCGUCGC
rnacentral:rRNA from 1 species